rnacentral:hammerhead_ribozyme from 1 species
AUCCAGCUGACGAGUCCGAAAUAGUACGAAACACGAGUCAAACUGGAU